rnacentral:ncRNA from 1 species
CGUAUAGAAGGAGCCGUGGAUGAAAUAUGUCGCAACCGCAAAGGCAAGCAAUGCACCGAUCAUGCUGAAAAAAACACGAGGUGCAUACAUGGUGCUCUCCUCCCGAGAACGAUUUCUCCAUUUUUGACUGCGCU